UUCUACAUAUUGCUUCAAUUAUCUUCAUUACUUUGACUGGAAUGAUGAAGAGUUGAGCCCAAUAUGCUUGGAUUCCAAAUACCACAGAUUGAACUAAUUGCAACCUCCCAGUAUAUGAUAAUUUCUUGGCAGACCAUGAUGUGAUCUUAGCAGUAAUCUUCUCCACUAAUGGUUGCCAUUGGAUCAAGGCAAUCUUCUUGGUAGAUAGAGGA
rnacentral:lncRNA from 1 species